rnacentral:rRNA from 1 species
AUGGACCUGCGAUGCAUUAGCUAGUUGGUAAGGGUAACGGGCUUACCAAGGCGAUGAUGCAUAGCCCGAGUUGAGAGACUGAUCGGGCCACAUUGGGACUGAGACACGGGCCCAAACUCCUACGGGAGGCAGCAGUAGGGGGAAUCUUCCACAAUGGACGAAAAGUCUGAUGGAGCAAACGCCGCGUGAGUGAAGAAGGUUUUCGGAUCGUAAAAAGCUCUGUUGUUGGUGAAGAAGGAUAGAGGUAGUAACUGGCCCUUUAUUUUGACGGUAAAUCAACCCAGAAAGUCACGGGGCUAACUACGUGCCCAGCAGCCGCGGGUAAAU